rnacentral:rRNA from 1 species
CCUACGGGAUGCAGCAGUGGGGAAUAUUGCGCAAUGGGCGAAAGCCUGACGCAGCAACGCCGCGUGAGGGAUGAAGGUCUUCGGAUCGUAAACCUCUGUCAGCAGGGAAGAACGGUCACUGUGCUAGUCAGCCGUGCAUUGGCUGUACCUGCAAAAGCAGCACCGGCUAACUCCGUGCCAGCAGCCGCGGUAAUACGUAGGGGGCGAGCGUUGAGCGGAAUUACUGGUUGUAAAGCGCUCGUAGGCGGUAUGGCAAGUCAAGGGUGAAAUCCCCGCGCUCAACGGGGGAACUGCUUUUGAAACUGGCAAACUGGAGUGUGGGAGAGGAUAGUGGAAUUCCAGGUGUAGGAGUGAAAUGCGUAGAUAUUUGGAGGAACACCAGUGGCGAAGGCGACUAGCUGGAACAUAACUGACGCUGAGGAGCGAAAGCGUGGGUAGCAAACAGGAUUAGAUACCCGUGUAGUC